rnacentral:rRNA from 1 species
GAUGAACGCUGGCGGCAUGCCUAACACAUGCAAGUCGAACGGAAACACAGUGAGAUUGUGCUCUUACGGUUGGCGAGUGGCGGGCGGGUGACGAAUACAUCGGAUCCUUCUUUUUCGGGGAUGAUAACGGAAGGACGGCUACGCUAAUAUCUCAUAUGAUCUACCGGUGAAAUCAUUAGAUAUUCACGGCUUUCGCGUUUGUAUUAGCCGAUGUCGCAUUAGCUAGUUGGGUUGGUAACGGCCCACCAAGUCGACGCUACGUAGCUUGUCUGAGAGGGUGGUCGGCCACACUGGAACUGAGACACGGUCCAGACUCCUACGGGAGGCAGCAGUGGGGAAUCGUCGGCAAUGGGCGCAAGCUUGACCCAGCAACACCGCGUGGGUGAAGAAGGCCUUCGGUUCGUAAAGCCCUUUUGUUGGGAAAGAACAGCUGUAGGUUAAUACACAGCCGUCGUGACGGUACCGAAUCAAUAAGCACCGGCUAACUACGUG